UGUUUUGGUUCGGUAUAUCACACACUUGCAUCAAUCCAAACGUCGAAAAACCAUCAACAAUGGCUACUUCACUCUGCGAAACAAUUCGCUCAGGUUGAAAUCACCUGGCACGAGCACCGUGUCACCCGGCCGAAUGACGUCGAUGACGGAGCCAACAAACGCAACGAACGACUGAUAUCGAGAAAUAUUCGAGCUCGAGCAAACUCCGUGCUGACGAUAGAAUGAUGAACCGCAACAAGCACCCCUCCGCCGGACCGUUUAUCGCUGUUGAGUGAAUUUCUGUCGCAGCGAUAGACCGAAAAACACGAAGGAAACAACAAACCAUCUUGCACAGCAGAAUCCAAGGUUUCCCACGUUCAACGGACCAACAGGACGACACUCUAUGCGAUCACUCACAACAGACAGAAUUCCUCACACAAAUCAUUGUUACUGCUGCAUCGCCACCGUGGACUGAAUGGGAGCAGCGAGCGGUGUGGAGAAACAGUCACGCUGCUGUGAGGAACUAUCUCGUUGCCGCUCGUCUCGAAAAAUUGUAUUCCGCUCGGCACCCACAAACUCACGGAAAUAAAUUCCCCUUUGCCAGCUUGAUGGCUGCAUUGCCUUUUCUUUCCACUUCAUUGCAACUCCAAUCUUAAAUGAUAUGAAGGAGAGUUGGUUGAGAUCAACCCCUCUUCGGACCAACUUUAUUACUUCCACAGGUUCAUUCAUUUCAAGAUUCCGUUUUACCAAACUCGAGACUUCCUCCACAAUGGCGUGUGGAGAAAAUCUCGACAAGAACAGCCAAAAUUUAGGCUCUCGUGCAGCGGUGUGCACGAUUGGAACAGACAAAGCGGGAUCUGGCUCUUU